UACGUAGGGCGCAAGCGUUUAUCCGGAAUUAUUGGGCGUAAAGAGCUCGUAGGCGGUUUGUCGCGUCUGCCGUGAAAGUCCGGGGCUCAACUCCGGAUCUGCGGUGGGUACGGGCAGACUAGAGUGAUGUAGGGGGAGACUGGAAUUCCUGGUGUAGCGGUGAAAUGCGCAGAUAUCAGGAGGAACACCGGUGGCGAAGGCGGGUCUCUGGGCCGAUAUUGACGCUGGAGGAGCGAAAGCGUGGGGAGCAAACAGG
rnacentral:rRNA from 1 species